UUGUGAGUGUGUGAGAGUGUGCGAGUGUGUGAUAGUGUGCGUGUGUUGCGAGUGUGUGAGAGUGUGCGUGUUGCAGGUGUGUGAGAGUGUGCGUGUUGCAGGUGUGUGAGAGUGUGCGUGUUGCAGGUGUGUGAGAGUGUGCGUGUUGCAGGUGUGUGAGAGUGUGCGUGUUGCAGGUGUGUGAGAGUGUGCGUGUUGCAGGUGUGUGAGAGUGUGCGUGUUGCAGGUGUGUGAGAGUGUGCGUGUUGCAGGUGUGUGAGAGUGUGCGUGUUGCAGGUGUGUGCGAGUGUGCGUGUUGCAGGUGUGUGCGAGUGUGCGUGUUGCAGGUGUGUGCGAGUGUGCGUGUUGCAGGUGUGUGCGUGUUGCAGGUGUGUGCGUGUUGCAGGUGUGUGCGUGUUGCAGGGGUGUGCGUGUUGCAGGUGUGUGCGUGUU